UACGGACCCAAUCAACGAUGAAAGGCCAUUUAUUUGGUUAGACAUUGUUGUGUUGGUGCUCACUGGAGGUGUUUUAAUACAUGCCCCUGGUGGAUUUGAGUGUUCAGCUAUCAUUCUUUAGCUGGUCAUUUGAAAUGUAUUGGUGUCGUCUAGCUGACAGUCGCCGCGUAAGCAUUGUUAAUCAUCUUUAUUGAUGUUCCUUGCUAUCAAUACACGGGCCAACGACAAUAAGCAUCAUUAGCACGAUCCAAGCACAAACCUACCAAAUACUUGUAUUUAACCA
rnacentral:misc_RNA from 1 species